AAACCCGGUUUUUAUUUUGUAGCUAACCCAUUUGUCCUUUUCUCUAUCCUUUUCCCCCAUUUCAAUCUUUCAUCUUCUCCCUCACGCAUUCCUCACAUUUCCCUUUUAUCUCUCUCUCCCUUUUCGAUCUCUCUCUCUCUCUUUCUCUCGAAUGGAAGCUCUCAAGAACAACAACAAGAAGAAGAAGCAAUUUUGUUUGAGGGGCAUGUUGUCUGGCUCGAGGCCACUUUUCUGAAUCCAAAAUGGGAUCUCAUCGGAUAAGUGUCGUCGGACCAGGCUUCAUUCCCCCCACAAAUUUUGCUUCAAUCUAAGAAAAUAAAGAAAGAAAUCCCCAACUUGAUGUUAGCUUCAAUUUUCUCCUCAUCUGGAUCUACAGGGUGGGAAGAUUUGUGUUUGCUUAGAGGAAUGUUUUUGGAUUGAGCAAUGCAAGGCGGUUUUGACUUGCACAUGUUUAUGUAACAAUACAUGAGCAGCGUCUCCAACAACCCCAACCUCACAACCCUCUUGGCUCACUCUUCCUUGGCUAUGGACGUUUACAACCUGGUGCUCAGGGUCAUCUUUUGGUCCCCGCAC